GACAGGGGACGCCACAUGCAUGCAUAGUACAUGCACGUGGCCCCAACUAGCCUCGAGGGCAGCUCUGGCUUCCAGCCCUCACAAUCUCCAUGCCCCAGAUCUUUGCAGGAAAUCCGUCUCCUACUCCCACUGGUCAGAGAACUUCCUGUGAAUGAGAAGAUACUGUUAAAGACCUCAGACCCUGAGAGCGCCUAUUUCUGUAAAUCAGAAGAGCAUUUCACCUCUAAGUGGAAAGCAAAACUCACUGGACAACUUUACCUAUGAAGAAACUGAUAUGAUUCUGCCCAA